CCUACGGGAGUCAGCAGUGAGGAAUAUUGGUCAAUGGCCGGAAGGCUGAACCAGCCAUGCCGCGUGAAGGUCAGUGCCCUAUGGGCGUUAAACUUCUUUUGUGCGGGAGCAAUAAUGGUCACGUGUGGCCAGACGAGAGUACCGUACGAAUAAGCAUCGGCUAACUCCGUGCCAGCAGCCGCGGUAAUACGGGGGGUGCAAGCGGUAUCCGGAUUUUUUGGGGUUAAAGGGUGCGUAGGCUGUGAGGUAAGUCAGGGGUGAAAUGCCCCCGCUCAACGGGGUGAAGUGCCAUUGAUACUGCCUAGCUGGAAUGCGGAUGACGUGGGAGGAAUGUGUGGUGUAGCGGUGAAAUGCAUAGAUAUCACACAGAACACCGAUUGCGAAGGCAUCUCACGAAUCCGCGAUUGACGCUGAGGCACGAAAGCGUGGGUAUCAAACAGGAUUAGAUACCCGAGUAGUC
rnacentral:rRNA from 1 species